AUCCCCAGGGGACUUCAGAGAAGCCACAUGACAUUUCCAGAGGCAUAAAUUUCUCCAUGGGCUUAUGAGACUUCAGGUUCUGGACAUCCAAGAGUUCAAGCCAAGGCUCCUCACACUUAGUAGUCCCUGUGUCAAGCCUGACGCUGCACCCACCCCAGGUUGGAGCACCCCCUUCCUCACAGUCCAGUUCUCUGCAGAAAACUCUGAGGGAAAUGGAGCCUACCUUCCAUGUCCAGAGCAGAUGGUGCCCAGAAGGCUGCAGCCCAGCCUC